rnacentral:rRNA from 1 species
UACAGAGGCCUCGAGCGUUGUUCGGAAUUACUGGGCGUAAAGGGCAUGUAGGUGGUGACGUAAGUCAGAUGUGAAAGCCCCGGGCUUAACCUGGGAAGUGCAUUUGAUACUGCGUUGCUGGAGUGCGAGAGAGGAAAGCGGAAUUCCAGGUGUAGGGGUGAAAUCCGUAGAUAUCGGGAGGAACACCAGUGGCGAAGGCGACUUCCUGGCCUGUUCUUGACGCUGAGGCGCGAAAGCUAGGGGAGCAAACGGG